GGGGAAUCAUAUGAUAUAAUAUCAAGAGCUUCAUUCCAGUCUGAUGGACCAAUUGUACCGGCAACUGGCCGUAGAUUCACAUUUCUUUCCAUGGGAAGCUCUGUAUUGUUAUAUAUAUCCCUAUUUAAGAUUGGGCCAGCUGUCGACCGUGAAACUUCACCGCUCGGCUCUGCCAGAUCAGUCCCGUUAUCCCUCACUGAACGCCUUAAAGCAGCCCUAGCUUCACCAGGUUUGCCCUCUCUUCUUUUGUCCAUCUCUCUUGCCUUCCACUUGAAUCUAUCAUCUAACAUGCUUCUUUGAGCCUCUGUCAGCUUUCCAAGAUAUUUCCAAAUGUCAUCACCAAGAAUCUUAUAGCCAAUAGCCAAAGUAUUCAAAGCAGCCUUCCUAGUUUCACCAUCUCGUUCUGCUGUUAAACUUGCAACAACUUGCAAGGAUUUCAAUUGUCCACCAAUCUCAGCUUCAUGAUUAUCCAGUAAGUAGCCAACAAGGUCAGCACAUUCUAUACGAGUUCGAUUGCUCCUUGAUCGUAAGCCUUCCAAAAUGUAAGGAAAAGUCUUUGCAGCAGAAUAUGCUUGGAUGAUUUGCUUAGUUAGCUCUCGCAUUUUUUCUCGCACUUUUUCAAUGUUAUGGCCAGACUUCUCAACCAAACAAGGAAGGAAAAUGGCAGCUUCAGCUUCAGUCAUCAUGUAUCCCUCAUUCCUUAACAUCUCAAAAAGCUCAGGCAGGAAUUCCAGAACCUUUAAUAUGCAGGAAGUGUUU
rnacentral:misc_RNA from 1 species